GAGAGCAGCUGAGGCCAGAGCACAGGGGGCCUCAGAUGCCAGACUCCAAACUCUGAGCAGAAAUCCCCCCAACACCCCUGAGCAGGUUAAAAGGGGUGUGUGUGUGUGUGUGUGUAGCUGACCAGAGGCCAGUAUGUUAUUCUCCUUGAUACGACCGUGAUCUCUUUCCUCCUGGGGAGAGACAGUCGGGGGAACUAAAGCACUCGCACACCCCGACUCCGUCCUCCAGAUAUGUGACGUCCCCUAAGACGUGUGCUUCCAAAAUGGAGGAGUCACACUUGGUUGGGGAGCAAAGAAAGACCAACGAGGCUUUGGGGGGUUGGCUGAUGCUGGAGCUCUGCCAUCCUUUCGACCUUUGUCCUCAGAGGUCCGGGUGCUGGGGGCGCUGGGGCCUGGGGCUCUGAGUUUCUUCUACAUCUGACCCCGCUCACAUCCUGCCCCAGCUCACACAAACAGCCCACAGCGGGCAAGAUGCCGAGGCUGCAGGUGUCUGUGUUUUUCUGGAAGAUGUUCUCCUGAGGCAAAGUUUAGAGGUUUGGAACAGGAAAGGGACUAACCUUUCGGGUUAGCCUAGGCUGUUUCAGAGGUCAACUCCAGCCCUGCUGGGCUCCAGGAAAUUGUGUGUCACUCGGCCCCUCUGAACUCGAAUCAUCUCACGUGUCAAAUAGUCCUAAUCCUACUGUGUAGGUUGAAAAUGUCCCACCCAAAGUCAUAUGUUGGAGCCAUAACCCCAGAACCGCAGAAUGUGACCUCAUUUGAACAAGGUCAUUGCAGAUGCAGUUAGUUAGAUGCGGUCCUCCUGGGGGAGGGUGGCCCUAAUCCAGUGACGGGCGUCCUUAUAAAAGGGGAGGUUUGGACACAGAGAAGAGACCACAGGGAGGACGCCAUGGAAGACUGGACUUGUGCUGCCACAAGCCAGGGAACCACCGGGAGCCGUGGAGAGGCCUGGACAGAGGCUCCUCCAAUGCCUCCAGAGGGAGGUGGCCCUUCCACCCCUGUGUCCUGGACUUCUGCCUCCCAGACUGUGCGAGAAUAAAGCUCCGUUGUUUAAGCCCCCAGCCAGGGCACUUUGUUGCCCCAGGACACUGAUGCACAUACCUACCAGGGAAGAUUUGGGGAGCUCUGGAUGGGCUACACGUGUGAAGGAGGUCCUGGAGCAGCCCAUUCCUGCAGGCCUCUCCUGUCCCCUGGCAGGAUGUUGUGGGGCCGGGAUAAAAGCAUUGUUCCCAAUUUUGCCUUCUCAGCUGUCAAAAUACAAGAAGUCACCCCCAUGAAAAAGAAGCCGUUUCAGUUUUUUCUCUUGUUUGCGAAGUUACAGGGCAAAUGUUCUUGUUUAUUUUCGACUCUUUCUGAACUUGCAUGAUGCAAAUCCCCAGAACCCAAAAAAGACCUCUUGGAAAACACUCCACGAUUUGUGGCAAGGAAGGUCAGAUUGCUUGAAAAUGACUAAUGAUUAGUUUACGGUGCUUAUAAUACAGGUUCCGUAACAAUGGAAUUAAUCUUUAGAGAGAAAAAUUAAAAGGUAGUUUGCUCCCGAGGGAGCUGUUCAGGGUUUGCACAUCAGGGUGAUGAGCACUCAUCGGGACAGACAGCAGAACCCCAGGGCGCCUCAUUGUUUAAUCAGUGUGGGGAGCAUCACGCUGAUUAAUCCUCCUGCUUCCCUCUGACAGCGCUGCUCGCCGCUGCCUGUGUCCUGGGUCUGCUUCCCUUCCGCAGGAUGCCCAGGCUCUGUGCCCAGGGCUGCUGGCCUCUCUGCCCGGCCUGGGGGCAGCCAUGGGCGUUGGCUGGUUGUGCAUCCCUCUGCUUUGGGCCCGUCGCUGUUGUCAUUUGGUUUGUUGCAAACCCCAACCUGAAGGGCAGCACACCUGGAAGGCGCCCACAGGUGGGGAGGGGGUUUUUCUUCCCUUCCGUGCAUGCAGAGGGGUCCCCACUUUCCGUGCUGGAGCCUCCAGCCUCCGCUCUAGCUGGCAGGCGGUCCCAACAGUGUACACAGACGCUACCAAAUUGAACAUCUCCCGGGGACGUUGCACCCCACAUCUGCAAACACGGCCACUAACUGCAUCUACACCUUGGUUGU
rnacentral:lncRNA from 1 species